CCCGCCGCCUUGGCCCGCCGACGCCGCCCGCGCCUGCCGACACCGACCUCGCCUGCCUGCCCGUACCCGUCCACGCCGACUGACGCGCCGGAUCUGGCGAUAGAGGGCGGCGGCGGACAGGGAGGAAGUCGCGCGGCACUGGGGAGGGCCCGAGCUCCAGCAGGAGGACGUCGCCGGCCGGCCAGAACACUGACAUAUCUUCGCAAUCUAUCGCUCGAUUCCAUAAAUCUCUGCGCCGCCGGUCCCGAAGACCAGGGGCGCAGGCCGCCGCACUGCCGGGCCCUGCAAGCCGCGGAAGCGGGUGCUUGACGCGUGAAGCACCACGCGGGCGCGGGCCCCGUCGCUGGCCGUGGCCCAGCCGGUCACUGGCCGCCACGCGGGCGCAGGAGCGACCCCGCCUGCCAGGCGCAAAGCCGCCGCCGGCCGGGCCCCGCAGGCCGGGCGCGCGCGGCCAAACGCAGCGGUGCAAAGCCGCCGCCGUCCGAGCCCCGCAGGCCGGGUGAGCGCGGGUAAACGGGGCAGCUGCCGCCGGCCGAGCCCCACGGGCCUGGCGCGCGCGCGAGCGCAGAAGCCGCCGCCGGCCGGUCCUCCUCCCACAGGCGCCAGACGACGCCGCCUUGUUUCCUAGAGAAGCACGAGAGAGAUAGCUUCUGGUGUUGGAGCUCACACCGCCGCUGCCGCUAUCCCACUGAUUGUCAACUCCAUUCGCCUACGUCUGAGCAGAUAGGCACGGCGCCUGCCCAUCCGCAGCUCGUAGCGGCGUCGCGCCGUCCCCUCCGCCACAGGGUCCAGGAAGCGGGAACCUGCGUGUGCUGUUGCCGGCACCACCUCCACGCAUCCAAUUCCAACUCCGGCUCCAGGUUCUGUACACUCCAUCACCUUUUUGUGAGACCAUAAGCUCCAGCACUACAUCAAUCUUGUAUACCGCAAGCAAUCUCGUUCGGCAAAGAUAUGUUGCUAGCACUGUUAUCGUAAUAUUAGGCAUCAAUUUUGCUACAAACUACUGAUUUUGACAAAAGUAGUCUGCUGAAAAAUUCUAUCAUUAGCCAUGGGAGUUUUUAGCUGCUUUUGCGGUUCGUUCAGGGAACCUAGGCAUACACAUGCAGAUAACCUGUGAAAGGAAGUCAUUUCAGAGAUGCUUAUAAUUUGGACAUUAUAGCUGCAGUACGUACCCUAUUAUUGAAUUCCCCACAUUAUGUACCUUUUUCCAUCCACAAUACUUGUGAUUCCUACUCUGAUUUUCCUAUUUCCAUCUUUGUUGAUCAGUUCCAAAAUAGUGUUGCUCUGAUAUACAGUACACAUUGAGUGAGAACUGGUAUAUUAGAAAUAUGCUUCUAAUAGUAACACUUUCUUCACAGCAACUGUGAAUUGAAUAGUGCAUCUAAAUCAUUUAACCUCUUUUAUUGUUAUUAUGUUUCUCCAGGAGCAACUACAAUUCACAAAUUAAAGAUAACUAUGGAUCAUGGGGGACGGCUCAAACCUACAGCAACACAAGGAAUCUGAACUUCUACAGGCAAUAACUAGCAACUUACUUUCUUCAACAGUUUAGAGCUAUGGUCAUGAUCUUCAACCAACAUCUAGGCUGAAUAUGGUAAGAGAUUGGUCAGGGGAUUUCGUUGCCACCUUGCUUUCUACCUCUGAUAUACUUCCCUUCCUCUUCUACGGGAACAAAUGAUAACCUUUGAAGGUUCAAUUUAUAUGAACCACAAUUUUGUAUUAAAUAUGUAAUUUUAUCAAGGUAUCAUGUACUAUUUGUAGGCACUCAGAAUCCAUGAAUCACAUAAAUAUGAUAUUACCACGAAUGUC